AGAGUUUGAUCUUGGCUCAGGACGAACGCUGGCGGCGUGCCUAAUACAUGCAAGUCGAACGCACUCUCGUUUAGAUUGAAGGAGCUUGCUCCUGAUUGAUAAACAUUUGAGUGAGUGGCGGACGGGUGAGUAACACGUGGGUAACCUGCCCUAAAGUGGGGGAUAACAUUUGGAAACAGAUGCUAAUACCGCAUAAAACCUAACACCGCAUGGUGUAGGGUUGAAAGAUGGUUUCGGCUAUCACUUUAGGAUGGACCCGCGGUGCAUUAGUUAGUUGGUGAGGUAAAGGCUCACCAAGACCGUGAUGCAUAGCCGACCUGAGAGGGUAAUCGGCCACACUGGGACUGAGACACGGCCCAGACUCCUACGGGAGGCAGCAGUAGGGAAUCUUCCACAAUGGACGAAAGUCUGAUGGAGCAACGCCGCGUGAGUGAAGAAGGUUUUCGGAUCGUAAAACUCUGUUGUUGGAGAAGAAUGUAUCUGAUAGUAACUGAUCAGGUAGUGACGGUAUCCAACCAGAAAGCCACGGCUAACUACGUGCCAGCAGCCGCGGUAAUACGUAGGUGGCAAGCGUUGUCCGGAUUUAUUGGGCGUAAAGCGAGCGCAGGCGGUUUCUUAAGUCUGAUGUGAAAGCCCGGAGCUCAACUCCGGAAAGGCAUUGGAAACUGGUCAACUUGAGUGCAGUAGAGGUAAGUGGAACUCCAUGUGUAGCGGUGGAAUGCGUAGAUAUAUGGAAGAACACCAGCGGCGAAGGCGGCUUACUGGACUGUAACUGACGUUGAGGCUCGAAAGUGUGGGUAGCAAACAGGAUUAGAUACCCUGGUAGUCCACACCGUAAACGAU
rnacentral:rRNA from 1 species